AAAAAAAAAAAGAAAUGCCCGAUCUCAUCUGAACUCGGAAGUAAAACAAGGUCGGGCCUGGUUAGUACUUGGAUGGGAGACCGCCUGGGAAUACCAGGU
rnacentral:rRNA from 1 species